CCCCUUCCAUGGGCUACAAGGUAACCCAGUUGAAGGAGUCAGGGAUAGUCAGGUAAUGAUGACAGCAGAGCAGCGACAGAUGCCUCAGCCUCAAACUCUGCCACAGCCUUUGAGGGAGUUAUCAGCUCCCAGAAUGGCAAGUCCUCGUUUCCCAGCACCUCAGCAGCCUAAACCUGACUUGGAAUUGCAGGCUGGCUCUGUUGAUAGGCAGCCAGCCCACGCAGCACCUGUGCAGGACUCUGAGGUCUCACCUACUCUCAGGACAGCUCCAACGUCCCUCAACCAGUUACUGGAUAACACGGGUAUCCCAAACAUGGCUCUUCGGCCCAUACAGAGUAAUACUGUUAGGGAUGUUAUGGGUAAAGACAGCCCCAAGUCUGCUUUGGAUGCAGAGAGACCACUCCACAGUAAUUCCCAGAGUACAGAUAUGUCAUCUUCUGCUGCUACAACUACCACUGUAAAUGAAUCAGAAGCUAAACCCAAACUUGCUGUCCCAAUCCCUACCAGCAGUCCUAAUUUGCAGCCUGCUUCAAUACCCAGCUCGCACCUGAGCACAAAUGUGAACUCCGUUACUACCCCCAGCCUUAACCAAAACCCCAUCUCCAGUCUUGGCAUCAGUCCCAGUCCCAAAGUAAUCCCAACAGCUACCCUCUGCCCCACCCUCACUAUUAACACUAAUGCCACCACGAGUGUAAGCCCUAACCCAGUCACUUGCUGUCAGAGCAGUCUUGCCUCAACUGUUAGUACCAGUUCUAACUCCAGCUCUGCUCUAAACCCUGCCAUUUCAGCUCUAAAACCAAGCCCUAGUCCUAAACCUGUGACAAGUGUUCACUCAGUCAUACAGAUCCCUGCCUCUUCUACCACCAUUUCCCCCAACCAGAUCACUGUGUUUGUCACCUCUAACCCUAUCACCUCUGCCCCCACUCCCCAGGCACCCACAUCUAUGGUCUCCACCAUGGUAGCUGUCCCCAACAAGAACAUUAGGCCUCAGGACAUCCGGCAGCAGACCCCCGUCCCCAGACCUCAGUUUAUCACAACCACUCCUGUAUUUAUCAAUCCAAUUUUCCAGGUCCCAGGUGCUUCUGUGGCUCCGAAUACCACAGUGGUCUCACAGUCAGUCACUAUGAUGGGGCCUAUCCAAGUAUCCACUACAAACAUCCAACUUUCUCCUGCCCCAAGUUCCACCCAGUCCUCAGGGGCUAACAUGACCAGCACUCAGCCUGCCAGAAGUGCUGCUGGACAGGUCCAGAUUGCCACUAGUAUGUCCUCAUCAGCAGCCAUUGCCACUCUACCAGCUCCUCAGCAAGUUAGCCCAGGGGCCCCCAAAACAGAAAGUACAGGUGAGGCAGGUUGUGUUCAGAAAACCAGUCCCCCGGUCCAGCAGCCAUCUCCCCAUCCUAGUCCUUCAGCGUCAUCUCCCUUUCAGCCACCUCUGGCUUCUCCUCCUCCCUGCUCUAGUCCUGGGGCUGUUAACACCAUCCGAAAGAGCCCCAUGUCUCCACCUCCCACUACCCAUGUGAAAAGUAAACCGGCACCGGCUUCUGCAGCUGUUACUGGUACAUCUGACUCCCAGCAGAGUCUUGUAGAAAGGCCUGCACAGGGGCCCACUGGGACUGUGCCACCACAGGUUUUUCAUCCUCCCACUAGUCCUGCCAUUCAGAUUGAAGCACUGGCUCCCCAUACUACUACUGCUGCUGCUGGUGCCCCAAGCAACAUUACUCUGCCUGCAGUCUCCUCUCCAAUCCCAGUGCCUGGCCAAGUUGCUGUUUCUACUCAGAUUGUUACCCAGGCUCCAGUGCCUGCACCAGUUUCAGUCUCAAGCACAGCCCAGGCUGUAACUUCCCAUGCUCCUAUUGUCACUGCAGUUGGUACUACCACAUGUGUCUCUUCUGCUGCCUUGCUCUCUACGGUUGCUCCUGUACAAAGUCCUGUGUCGUCCAUUGUUCCAAUUGUUGCUGGACCUGGAUCUGUUCAGGAGGUUCCCCCCACCACAUCCUCACCAGUGGCUAACCCCAGCGGAGUUCCACCACCUCAGUCUGACCCCCCACCUACGGAGCCCCCUGUGGCACCAGCUGCAGCACCUGCUGAAACAACUCCAGCACCUGUUCAACAGGAAGUCCCACAGUCGCAGGAACCUGCUGUCAGUGAGAAGACGGGUGAAGAGGUCUCUACAGGUUCUGAGCAGGGGGAGUUCAUUUGGUUGGCCAAGGGGGUACAUGGUGAAAACAAUGAGCCACGUGGCCUCAGCAAUUGGUAUGUAUGAUUAGCAUGCAAUAAUAUAAAUACACUAAUGCAUGUCAUAACUUUAAACCAAGAACAGCUUAUCACGUAGCAAAUUGUGCCACUCCACUGACAUUUAUGGCCACAUCUCUUUUCCUGGGGAUUGUCAUAAUAUGGUGGGGAAGUGAAGCCAUGUUUGUUCAGCACAGUUUAUAGUUUACCGCUGUUUUUCCACUUCUAUCACAGAUGGGCAAAGAAAAGAAAGACGCCCAUCAACUUAGUCCCAAGGUAUGUAUUUUAACAUGUUUGUGCUGCAAAGACACAAGCAGUGAUCAUGUCGACGUAGUGGAUGCUGUCGGGAUGAAGACGGACAGUAUCUGUGGUAGACGAGGAAAAACAGCAGAGUCCUGAGUGGUAUUAUAUCUUUCUGUGAGUAGAGCAGAGUUAACUCAAGCCCUUGCAUCAUGACUAACACAACCCUGUGUUGUCCUUCCUUCCUUGUCGUUUGUUGUUUUUCUAUCUGGUCCUCCCAGGGCUGCUGUGGAGAAGCCCAAGGGACCGAGUAGACGUAGCUCCCGGGCCGAGAAGGAGGUGGAAGAGGAGCCAGUGGCGGACAGUGGCAUUAGGAAGAGAUCAGUCAGGCCUGGAACCAGUGCUGCUGUAAAAGAAACUGGAGCCAGCC